UCUGUUACAACUGCUGCUUCUUCUGUUACAAGCUCGAAGUCAUGGGAAGAUUUCCGAAAGUAUCGCUCCCAGCAUCCAGGCCCUCUAUCUAUGAGGGCCUUCCAUCGCUGGUGUUUGUAUGGGGACGACCAUCCCUCCUUUAGAUGGAGGGAUGGCACCCCAUACAACACGGGG
rnacentral:lncRNA from 1 species